GUUCCUACGGGAGGCAGCAGUGGGGAAUAUUGCACAAUGGGCGAAAGCCUGAUGCAGCAACGCCGCGUGAAGGGAGACGGUUUUCGGAUUGUAAACUUCUAUCAAUAGGGAAGAAAGAAAUGACGGUACCUAAAUAAGAAGCCCCGGCUAACUACGUGCCAGCAGCCGCGGUAAUACGUAGGGGGCAAGCGUUAUCCGGAAUUACUGGGUGUAAAGGGCGUGCAGCCGGAGAGACAAGUCAGAUGUGAAAUCCACAGGCUCAACCUGUGAACUGCAUUUGAAACUGUUUCGCGUGAG
rnacentral:rRNA from 1 species